UGGGGAAUAUUGGGCAAUGGGCGCAAGCCUGACCCAGCAACGCCGCGUGAAGGAAGAAGGCUUUCGGGUUGUAAACUUCUUUUCUGAGGGACGAAGAAAGUGACGGUACCUCAGGAAUAAGCCACGGCUAACUACGUGCCAGCAGCCGCGGUAAUACGUAGGUGGCAAGCGUUAUCCGGAUUUAUUGGGUGUAAAGGGCGUGUAGGCGGGAAAGCAAGUCAGAUGUGAAAACUCAGGGCUCAACCCUGAGCCUGCAUUUGAAACUGUUUUUCUUGAGUGCUGGAGAGGCAAUCGGAAUUCCGU
rnacentral:rRNA from 1 species